rnacentral:rRNA from 1 species
UACGUAGGAGGCAAGCGUUAUCCGGAAUUAUUGGGCGUAAAGCGUGCGUAGGUGGUUUAGUAAGUCUGCUGUUAAAGCGCGGGGCUUAACUCCGUAUCGGCAGUGGAAACUACUAGACUAGAGUGUGGUAGGGGUAGAGGGAAUUCCCAGUGUAGCGGUGAAAUGCGUAGAUAUUGGGAGGAACACCAGUGGCGAAGGCGGAUCUCUGGGCCAUUACUGACGCUGAGGAGCGAAAGCGUGGGGAGCGAACAGG